AAACAGAUUCAGCACCGGGCUUCUGUUUACUCCAUCAUCCUGAAGGGUGAUAUUGACCCAUUACUAUGGCCACUGCUCCUGCCAGCCCUCACCAACAGAGGAGGGCCUCCACCAAGCUUCUUAGUGAUGUUGGUGCCCCAAGUACCAGGGAAAACCUUCUGCAGCAUCUUCAAGCACAUCUUGACAGAGACAGACGGGCCCUAUCUACAGUACCAACAUCUUCAGAGACAUUCAGCCAGAUAACCCCACCCAUAUUUCAAGGCCUCCCAUUUUCCCAAUCCUGUACAUGACCCUAGUAUUACAGACCUAUAAUGGCUGAGCAUUCAAACAUCUCUGAAGCUCAGGACUCUAACCAUAAAAGUAUUGAGUCAUCUGUUUUUCCACUACAGAAGACAUGGCUUCCUUGUAAGCCACCGCAGAGUGCUCCCUGGCCCUCACAAAGUAACAAGUCUUUAUUGCUAGUUAA